rnacentral:rRNA from 1 species
AUUGAACGCUGGCGGCAGGCUUAACACAUGCAAGUCGAGCGGAGAUGAGGUGCUUGCACCUUAUCUUAGCGGCGGACGGGUGAGUAAUGCUUAGGAAUCUGCCUAUUAGUGGGGGACAACAUUCCGAAAGGAAUGCUAAUACCGCAUACGUCCUACGGGAGAAAGCAGGGGAUAUUCGGACCUUGCGCUAAUAGAUGAGCGUAAGUCGGAUUAGCUAGUUGGUGGGGUAAAGGCCUAACAAGGCGACGAUCUGUAGCGGGUCUGAGAGGAUGAUCCGCCACACUGGGACUGAGACACGGCCCAGACUCCUACGGGAGGCAGCAGUGGGGAAUAUUGGACAAUGGGGGGAACCCUGAUCCAGCCAUGCCGCGUGUGUGAAGAAGGCCUUAUGGUUGUAAAGCACUUUAAGCGAGGAGGAGGCUACUGAGACUAAUACUCUUGGAUAGUGGACGUUACUCGCAGAAUAAGCACCGGCUGACUCUGUGCCAGCCGCCGCAGUAAAAC